rnacentral:misc_RNA from 1 species
UUUUUCCUGCGGUUUCCGAUAAUAGGAACUCCAGAAAGAUACUGUCUGCAAGUCAUUUGUGUUUACUUCAAAUCCAAACCACAAUGUCAUGGCUAGCGAGGUCAAUUGCUAACUCUCUCAAGCUCGACGACGACGACGACGACCGUUCUCCUAAUCCUAAUGUCACCGAAUCAAAAUCACCCCCAAUUCCUCAAUCUGAUCAUCACUCCAAAUCAUCGUCACCAACAUCUCCUUCAUCCACAGCCUCCGCCACCACUCCACGUGGCGUCAAGGAAGACCUCUCCGAGCUCACUAAAACUUUAACCCGCCAAUUCUGGGGCGUCGCCUCUUUCCUCGCUCCUGCACCUGAACCCUCCUCCCCUUCCUUUCCGUCUAGUAAGAUCUCCGAUGGACCAGGCGAUAAUCCCCAACCACACCAGUUGCCCGAUCCGGAGGAAUCCAAUGAGGAUUUGAUUGCGGGAAUUCGUAGCGACUUCGCCGAGAUUGGUGGGAAAUUCAAGUCUGGGAUCUCUAAGUUGUCGAGUAACGUGAAUGUGUCGGAGAUCAGUAAAAUCGCAUCAAAUUUCCUCCAGAUUGGGUCGGAAAAAGAUUUCACUGACGAGGAUUUGGUUGGCAGUGCUGUCGGUGUGACCGAGGAGGUUAUAGCCUUUGCGAGGGAUAUCGCGAUGCAUCCAGAGACUUGGCUUGACUUUCCUGUUCCUGACAAUGAAGAUUUCGAUGAUUUUGACAUGUCUGAUGCCCAACAAGAACAUGCUUUGGCAGUUGAACGUCUUGCCCCCAGGUUAGCUGCUCUCCGAAUUGAACUUUGUCCAGGAUAUAUGAGUGAGGGCUGCUUUUGGAAGAUUUACUUUGUACUUCUGCACCCUAGGCUCAUUAAACAUGAUGCUGAGCUACUUUCAACUCCCCAGAUAGUGGAAGCAAGGGCAAUGUUGUCACAUGAGUUGCAGAACAAAGCUAAGGCAACCAAGCCAGGUUGGUCAGGAAUUGGCACUUGUAGAUCGACAGGAACUGCUGAUUUACCACAUGAAGAGUCUCUUUCUGUGCCAUCUCAUGCUGAGUAUGAAUCAGUGCCUCUAAAGACAUCCAGCAUUGAAGUAGGCCAUCCCACUAUUUUAGCCAAUACAUCUGGAAAUGAAGCAAUUCCUUCUGGUAUUGUAGAUGAACAAGAAACAGAGAAGCACCCAGUUCUGAGUACUGAAAUGCAAAUUAUUGACAAAGCUGUGGUUGAGGAGGAAUCAGUUGACCAGGCCAAACAUCGACAUCUAUCUAGUUCCUCUUCUAAAGUGUUAGAUGAGAAAUUUGAGGAUGAUGCUGAUGAUUGGUUGAAAGAUGAAAGUUCAGAAAUGGUAGGCACAAGUGGGAGCACAAUGCAUAUCGGAAAUGAUGAGGAUGUAUCAUUCAGUGAUCUUGAAGAAGAUGAUGGAGAUGUGCCUACAAGUUAUAAGAAAGUAACAUCGGGUUCUGAUGCUUCAACAAAAGACUCACGAGAUUGGGUUCAGUUGAGCAAAGGCUCUUCAGACUCAGUUAAGGAUAUUAAUCCUGUCAGCGUGAAACAUGCGGGGUCUGAGCAGGUAAGUGCUGCUAACUCUGAAUCCAAGGAGUCCAAUGAUUGGCUUGAUGUUGAGGACAUUGAUGUGAUGUGAUAAUUCCAUAAAACCCUAGCUAAUGUGUUUUCUGUCCUUCAGUUACGUUCCUGUGAAUAUAUAUGGUUUCUGCAGUCUGAAUUAGGAUUUGGAAACUAUACGUACAUAAAUCAAACCUAAAUUGGAUGAUGUAUUUGAACUAUAAUAAUUUUCAGUGCUCUUGUGAAAUAUUCGUUUUUCACUUGACGUGGGAAAUACAUUAUGUCAACUUUAACCCUAUGAAACCACAAGGCCUUGGCCUGGUGGUAUGACCCUCUGCUAUGAGACUUGCAGCACUUUCCUUCUUUUGAGGCUUGGGUGGUGCCUGUUCAUAACAUAAUGUUUGUGAUUAGUACUUGAUGAAUGUGAUAUUUAUGAGUUAUAUAGAGUGUACUUAUCUAUUGAUGAAUUAUAAUUGCGAUAUUUGAUUUGUUGGUCGGAACUCACUUGUAGAAUAUAUAGUCAAAAAUAUUCAAUAAUAUAAUGUAAUGUUAUUCGCAGAGACAAUGGGAGGAACUCUAUUGUGCUGAGUAGCCUCGUCCGUUUCGUAAACCCUUCUGGCCAAUUCUAUUUGGACUAUGGAUUUCAUGAAAUUUCCAAGUUUUCACGCUUGCAAACACUUAAAUUCUAUGUUAUCCAGGCUGGAGUAGAAUUAUUAUUUUCUAACAUUGGCUUGUUCCCAGUAAACAGUCAACUGUGCACUGACAUUUGCUUUUCAUCUGUCAAUAAUUUUCAGAUUCUCAGUUCUGCAUUCAGUAGAGGAAUGAUGAAUUUAGAAGUCUAAUGCAACCAUAACUCAAUACAUGCAAGUAGGAAAGGGAUAUACGCACACACGCGCGCACGUGUGUGGACAGCCACCCACCCAAAGUUGCCUGACAAUAGAUGGUUUAAGGUGUAAUUUAAAG